AUGAACGCUGGCGGCGUGCCUCAUACAUGCACGUCGAGCGAACAGACGAGGAGCUUGCUCCUUUGACGUUAGCGGCGGACGGGUGAGUAACACGUAGGUAACCUACCUAUAAGACUGGGAUAACUUCGGGAAACCGGAGCUAAUACCGGAUAAUAUUUCGAACCGCAUGGUUCGAUAGUGAAAGAUGGCUUUGCUAUCACUUAUAGAUGGACCUGCGCCGUAUUAGCUAGUUGGUAAGGUAACGGCUUACCAAGGCAACGAUACGUAGCCGACCUGAGAGGGUGAUCGGCCACACUGGAACUGAGACACGGUCCAGACUCCUACGGGAGGCAGCAGUAGGGAAUCUUCCGCAAUGGGCGAAAGCCUGACGGAGCAACGCCGCGUGAGUGAUGAAGGUCUUCGGAUCGUAAAACUCUGUUAUUAGGGAAGAACAAACGUGUAAGUAACUGUGCACGUCUUGACGGUACCUAAUCAGAAAGCCACGGCUAACUACGUG
rnacentral:rRNA from 1 species